rnacentral:rRNA from 1 species
AUUCGACCUGAGCUCAGGUAAGAGCA